rnacentral:rRNA from 1 species
UACGGAGGGUGCAAGCGUUAAUCGGAAUUACUGGGCGUAAAGCGUGCGCAGGCGGUUUGUUAAGUCUGUUGUGAAAUCCCCGAGCUCAACUUGGGAAUUGCAAUGGAUACUGGCAGGCUCGAGGGCAGGAGAGGAACGCGGAAUUCCAGGUGUAGCGGUGAAAUGCGUAGAUAUCUGGAGGAACACCGGUGGCGAAGGCGGCUCACUGGCUCAUUACUGACGCUCAGGCGCGAUAGCGUGGGGAUCAAACAGG